rnacentral:lncRNA from 1 species
CAUAUCAGGGCCUGGUUCAUCCUUAAACCACAAAGUGCAAUGAAGUAGGGCCACUGAUUGUUCAUCAUGUGGAGGUGCAAGUGCAGGUAGUUGUAGGUCUUCUAGAACUUCUGGGUUGAUGUCCAGGCUAUACCAGUGGUGUACAAUCCCCCCCUUGGGAAGUGGCAGAAGAGUGGCCGGAUUAAGGGUAAGACAUCUCUGGAGUUUCACAUUGUCAGGUAGAAGCAAGGAGGUUUGGAGGCGGAGGUGGCGUUGGGAAGAAAGGUGUUUAGGCUGAACUUGUUGGAGGAUAGCAGUAAUGUCAUGAGGGGCCAGCACUGUGAGGUGAUGGCCGAGAACAAAGUCAUUAGUCUUAUCCAGGAGAGCGCUGGCGGCAAACACAGCACGGAGGCAAGAGGGGCUACCCCUUGCAACUGGGUCAAGCAUACAGGAAAAAUAGCCAAUGGGCCGUUGUCUGGUCCCAUGUUUCUGAGUAAGGACUCCGGAAGCAUGUCCUGAUUUUUCAGAGACAAACAAAUUGAAAGAGAGUUGGUAGUUGGGUAGGCCCAAAGCAGGUGCAGAGGCAAUAGCUCUUUUCAGAGUACGGAAACAGUUAAUAGUCUCUUCAGUGAGGUGAAAGGGCUCACUCCUGAGGGCAUCAUAGAGUGGCUGCAUGAGUUUGGAAGCUUCAGGUAUCCAAGAUCUGCAGUAUGUGAUGAGACCCAAGAAAGCAUGAAGAGAAUGGUGGGUUGCAGGUAAUGGGAGUUGCAGGAUAGCUUGCACCCGUUGUGAAGUUAGGUGUUUGGUGCCAUGGGAAAGGCAAUGUCCCAAGAAGACCACAGAGGGCCGGCACCAUUGUAGCUUUGAUUUGGAGGCCUUGCAUCCUGCAGCAGCGAGAAAGCAUAGAAGAUCUUCUGAGUCACGUUCUGCAAUAAGUAAAUUAGGAGCACAUAGUAGGAGGUCAUCAACAUAUUGAAGUAGAACAACAUCCAGAUGAGAUUUCUGCCAGGGAUCCAAAACCAGAGACAUGGCACGAGCAAACUGUGUGGGAGAGUUCUGAGCCCCUUGAGGCAUUACAGUCCAGGUAUAUUGUUGUCCUUCAUGUGUGAAGGCGAAAAGGAAACGGCAGGAAGGGUCAAGGGGGACACUGAAAAAGGCAUUAGCCAGGUCCACUACAGUAAAAAUUGUUGAAUUUGGUGGCACUUGGGACAAAAGGGUAUGGGGGUUUGGAACAAUGGCAGUGUCCUUUAUGGUAACUUCAUUAACAGCACGGAGGUCUUGUACCAUGCGGUACUGGUCGGGUUGGCCCUUAACAGUGCGCUUUUUAACAGGGAAGAGUGGGGUGUUGCAUGGAGAAGUGCACUUGGUGAGGGCACCCUUGGUAAGCAGAGAUUCAACUUGUUUGGUGAUGGCCUCAGCUUGUGCAGGCUUCAGAGGAUACUGAGGUCUGCGAGGAGGAAGGGCCCCAGGCAGGAGCUUGACCAAGACGGGGGGUACAUGUAGGCGUCCAAUAUCAUCCGGCCCGGUGGACCAAAGUUCUUGAGGGAUACGAUCCAGAGCACUGGGGGUGUGUGUGACCCGUGCAGUCCCUGAAUUGUUUGUUAGAUUCAACAAGAUGGGGAGGGAACAUAGUACAGAAGUAUCUUUUUGAGAUAAAGGGGUUGUUAACUCAACCUGACCAUCUGCAGUAAAGGUAAUAGAGGCCUGGAGCCGGGAGAGAACAUCUGCACCUAGGAGGUUAAUGGGGCAAGUAGAGGAAACAACAAACCGGGACAGAAUGUGUGAACCUACGUGUAAGAGCUUGGUAAGAGGGUUACUGCGUGGUGUGCCAUCCACCCCAACACAUGAAACAUCGGUGUUAGAAAGGAAAGAAGGGUCAGGCAGGUCUUGUUCCCUAAGGACACUACGGGCUGCACCUGUGUCAACUAAAAAGGUUGUUGGGUGACCCUCCACGGGGAGAACUACAGUAGCUAAAGGUCCUCCCCCAUCCCCCGCAGACACUGCCAUGGCAGGGGUUGGUGACACAGGCUUGCCAGUUACCUAUUGCAAUAAAUCUAGGUGAGCCUGAUCUGGGCCCUGGUACCGGCGGGAAGUGGAAGGAGGGGUAGCAGCUUGCAUGGGGGGGCGGGAUGGACGGAGGGCAUGGCGGGGAUGAGGCUGGUUAUCCUGGAAGUCAUCAGUAUCAUACCCUUCAGUGGAGGGCGAAGUGUAUGCACGCGCCUCUGUUACAGGGAGCCGGGCUUGGGAGUAUUCAGGAGGUGGUGGAGGAGGAGGCGGAGGAGGGAGCUGAGGUAACUGCGGAUGGGGCAGGGCGGGGAGAUAACCAGUGGAGGGGAAGUGGUAGCCGGUGACAUGGGGAUUCUGGUACCGGAGGGUCUGUUGGCGGUACACUCUAGGGUGUGGACAAUCUCUUCUAAAGUGACCCGGCUGGUUACAAUUAAAACAAGUCCGGAUUGUUGUGACAGUCCGGUCACGGUCUCGGGAGAAAGGAAGCGGUGCAGGCAGUGUCUGGGGGGACUGAGUGUACUGGGGGGGGAGUAUCUGUGGACCCUGAUUUGGACCUACAAUCGGGGCGGAGGCAGCAUACAUCAGAGGGUUGGUUCUACGCUGUGUGGGGAGCAUUACAGAUUCUAAGCCCUUGGCUACCAGCAAAAGAGUGUCCAGUGGAAUAAUUCUAUACUCAGGGCGAGCUAAGAUCAACCCCUUACGAAUGUGUUCCCUAAGCCCUGCCACAAAAGCUGCAGAAAGCAUCUGGGUGUGUGCUUUGUUGUAAGUACUGAACCCUAAGUCUGAAAAGGUCUGGGUUAACCUAGAGUGAUACUUUUCAACAGUCUCAAGUUUGUCCUGUAAUAUGUCAUUAAUGCAAGUAGCCUGAUCUGCUAAUUUAUCCUGUGCCCAGGCACGAAGCUGUUCACAAAAAAUUUCACCAGAGCGAAAGUCAGUAUCAGAAGUCAGUGGAGCAUCAUUAAAACUCCGUUCCAUGAUUGGCCAGUAUGCAUCUCCAGCCUUUAUUUCACAUAGACUAAUAAGAUCUCUCCAGGCAGCAGAGUAUGUUUUGCGGAUUUGAGCCAUUCUGCGGAAGAAGGGCAUGGGGUGUUUUUCAGGAUCAGGGAGCGAGGUUACGAGGGUAGCAGCUUGGGAAGGGUUGAAGGUGACAUACAUAGGCGGUGCACCAUCCGCACCAUGGGUGAUCUGGGGAUAUCCCUGAGGGAUAGAGUGCUGGGGAGGGGGCCUAUUCACCCCUAGGUGGGGCGAACUCUGGUCAACCAUAACAACCUCUUCGGGCGCCACUGGGCCACGGCGAAGAGUAGUCUCAGGGGUGGCAGUAGCGGGGACAACAGGAAGGGCGGUGAGGGGGGAGGUAGUAGGGUGAAACCCUGAGGCCUGGGGGGAGGCACCCAUCGCAUAGGGCUGGUCAGAUGUCCCAGACACUUCAGAUCCAACCACCAUGAUUGGGUAACUAGGACUAGCGGAAGGGACAUGAGGGACCGAAGCCGUGGAAGGGGCAGUAAGGGGGGUCGGUUGGCUUGGGCGUGAAAGGUGGGUGUUCAGAACAUGUGCGAGUACAGAGAUUGGAUCGGAGGGUUCGGAGGUAUCGGCAUGAGACAAGGGUGGGGUCGGAGACUCGGGAGGAGGAGGAGGAGGAGGUACGUCAAUAGGAGGCGGCACGGGGAUUGCGGAAGUAACCAGGGAGGUAACAGCAGUGAAGAGGGCGGAUAUUGAAUUAGGCAAAUCACUGGUUAUGGGUGCGUCAGAGGUCGCUGGGGGAGGGGUCAGAGGGACGGAAUCGGGGGGUUGUGACAGGGUCGGAGGGGCAGGGAUAUCGGGAGGAGGGAACACGGAAAAAGGAGGUGGAGGGAUAACAACGGGGGGUUGGGUUAGGGCGGUGAGGGCAGAGAUCAGGGACGGCAAAUCGGCCGCGGGAGUGGGAGGCAACGAGGUAGAGGGGGCUGG